CCUACGGGUGGCAGCAGUAGGGAAUCUUCCACAAUGGACGAAAGUCUGAUGGAGCAACGCCGCGUGAGUGAAGAAGGCUCUCGGCUCGUAAAGCUCUGUUGGUAGUGACGAAAGAUAGAGGUAGUAACUGGCCUUUAUUUGACGGUAAUUACUUAGAAAGUCACGGCUAACUACGUGCCAGCCGCCGCGGUAAUACGUAGGUGGCAAGCGUUGGCCGGAUUUAUUGGGAGUAAAGCGAGUGGAGGCGGGUCAAUAAGUCUGAUGUGAAAUCCUUCGGCUCAACCGGAGAAUUGCAUCAGAAACGGUUGAACUUGAGUGCAGAAGAGGAGGGUGGAACUCCAUGUGUAGCGGUGGAAUGCGUAGAUAUAAGGAAGAACACCAGUGGCGAAGGCGGCUCUCUGGUCUGCAACUGACGCUGAGGCGCGAAAGCAUGGGUAGCGAACAGGAUUAGAUACCCUGGUAGUC
rnacentral:rRNA from 1 species